rnacentral:piRNA from 1 species
UGGUCCUUUUAAAACAUCAAA